rnacentral:rRNA from 1 species
GCGGGAAGCCAACUUCAAGAUAAGAUAUCCCAUCUAUUUAUAGACUAAAGACCCCUUGAAGACUACAAGGUUGAUAGGCUGGGUGUGUAAGCACAGUAAUGUGUUCAGCUAACCAGUACUAAUCGGUCGUGAGGCUUAGCCAC